CCUACGGGUGGCAGCAGUGAGGAAUAUUGGUCAAUGGACGAGAGUCUGAACCAGCCAAGUAGCGUGAAGGAUGACUGCCCUAUGGGUUGUAAACUUCUUUUAUAUGAGAAUAAAAUGUUCCACGUGUGGGAUUUUGUAUGUACCAUAUGAAUAAGGAUCGGCUAACUCCGUGCUAGCAGCCGCGGUAAUACGGAGGAUCCGAGCGUUAUCCGGAUUUAUUGGGUUUAAAGGGAGCGUAGGUGGAUUGUUAAGUCAGUUGUGAAAGUUUGCGGCUCAACCGUAAAAUUGCAGUUGAUACUGGCAGUCUUGAGUACAGUAGAGGUGAGCGGAAUUCGUGGUGUAGCGGUGAAAUGCUUAGAUAUCACGAAGAACUCCGAUUGCGAAGGCAGCUCACUGGACUGCAACUGACACUGAGGCUCGAAAGUGUGGGUAGCAAACAGGAUUAGAUACCCUGGUAGUC
rnacentral:rRNA from 1 species